rnacentral:rRNA from 1 species
UACGGGGGGUGCAAGCGUUAAUCGGAAUCACUGGGCGUAAAGGGUGCGUAGGCGGUACGUUAGGUCUGUCGUGAAAUCCCCGGGCUCAACCUGGGAAUGGCGGUAGAAACCGGCGAACUAGAGUAUGGGAGAGGGUGGUGGAAUUCCAGGUGUAGCGGUGAAAUGCGUAGAGAUCUGGAGGAACAUCAGUGGCGAAGGCGGCCACCUGGCCCAAUACUGACGCUGAGGCACGAAAGCGUGGGGAGCAAACAGGAUUAGAUACCCUGGUAGUCCACGCCCUAAACGAUGAAUACUAGAUGUUUGGUACCUAGCGUACUGAGUGUCGUAGCUAACGCGAUAAGUAUUCCGCCUGGGAAGUACGGCCGCAAGGUUAAAACUCAA